UUCCUAGGUCUGGACAUCAUCAUCCCAGC
rnacentral:piRNA from 1 species